UUUAUUUAUUUAAUAUAUGUUUUUAAAAAAGUUAUAAAUAUUUUAGAAAGCAAAUAAAAUUAGUUUUAUAACAAAGUUUGGUUCUGGCUUAAUAACAUAGUAGUAGCGAGAAAAUACACAUGGUUUUUUUAGAAAUUAGUGAGGAUAAAAAUAUACUUGAUUGGCAAAGCAAAAAGCUGCAAAUUAUUUAUAUUUUUAAGUAUUAUAAAAGAUAUAAUUCUAUAUUUGAAUCACUAUACACCAGUGUCAAAUAUUAAUAAAGGAGUGAAAACUUGCCUUAGACAAGCUAAAUAGGUUUGGUCAACUUGGUGCCAGCAUCCGCGGUUAGACCAAGAAAUCAAAUUAUGUAAUAUAGGUAAAAAGAUAGUUAGACGCAAAGGCUAAUUUUAAGAAUUUUUAUUAAAAAGUAAAAUUUGUAUAUAAAAAAGUAUUCUAAUUAAAGUUUUUAAGUCGAAGCUAUGAAAGCUUAAUUGUAAACUAGGAUUAGAUGCCCUAUUAUUCUAAGCUAUAAACUUAUAUCAAAUAUAUACCUGAGUACUACGAGUAAAAGACUUAAAACUCAAAGAACUUGGCGGUAUUCCACACUCUUCAGGGGAACCUGUCUCAUAAUCGACAAUCCGCGUUAUACCUUACCUUCUUUUGUAUAUCAGUUUGUAUACCGUCGUCGUCCAGCUAACUUUUAAAAAUAAAUAAGUUAACAAAAAAAAAUUAAUUUUAGACGUCAGAUCAAGGUGCAGCUAAUAAGAAGGAGAGGAUGGGUUACAAUUAAAAUUUAUAAUCACGAAGUAAAAAAUUAAAUUUUUUAAUGAAGGAGGACUUGAAAGUAAAGGUUUAUAUAUAGAUUUUUUGAAUAAAGCUCUGGAAUGUGCACACAUCGCCCGUCGCUCUCGUUGAAAAAUGAGAUAAGUCGUAACAUAGUAGGGGUAAUGGAAAUUGUUCCUGGAUG
rnacentral:ncRNA from 1 species